rnacentral:sRNA from 1 species
AUUUGAGAUACGUAGCUGCUGGGAAAUACGAGUAAGCCUUGAGACUCCCGUCAGAUCCGAGUCUUAGAUACGAAAUCGUUCCGUUGUAAUUGAUUUUGUUCAGAUUUAAAGUUCCUCCUCCGCUUCCGAUUGGUCUGACUUGGAGUAACCGGCGGUUAUUACCCGGGUUCG